CAAAAAAUAAUUUAACUAAGAAUAUUAAUUUUGGAGAUUAAAAGUAUUAAUGAUAAUUUUUUUGA
rnacentral:tRNA from 1 species